rnacentral:tRNA from 1 species
GCGGAGGUACCCAAGCGGCUAAGGGGAACGCCUGCAGAGCGUUUAUCCGGGGGUUCGAGUCCCUCCCUCCGCU